GGAGAGAUGGCUGAGUGGACUAAAGUGGCGGAUUGCUAAUCCGUUGUACGAGUUAAUCGUACCGAGGUUCCGAAUCCUUUCUUUCCG
rnacentral:tRNA from 1 species